rnacentral:tRNA from 1 species
GGUCCGGUAGCUCAGUUGGAUAGAGCAGCAGCCUUCUAAGCUGCGGGUCAGGCGUUCGAGUCGCCUCCGGAUCACCA